rnacentral:rRNA from 1 species
CGUAGGGUGCAGGCGUUAAUCGGAAUUACUGGGCGUAAAGCGUGCGCAGGCGGUUUCUUAAGUCAGAUGUGAAAGCCCCGGGCUUAACCUGGGAACUGCGUUUGAAACUGGGAGACUUGAGUGUGGCAGAGGGGGGUGGAAUUCCACGUGUAGCAGUGAAAUGCGUAGAUAUGUGGAGGAACACCGAUGGCGAAGGCAGCCCCCUGGGUUAACACUGACGCUCAUGCACGAAAGCGUGGGGAGCAAACAGGAUUAGAUACCCUGGUAGUCCACGCCCUAAACUAUGUCAACUGGUUGUCGGGGGAUUAACUCCCUUGGUAACGAAGCUAACGCGUGAAGUUGACCGCCUGGGGAGUACGGCCGCAAGGUUA